rnacentral:rRNA from 1 species
GGAGUUAGCCGGUGCUUCUUCUGUGAGUGAUGUCCUUCCUGCCGGUUAUUGACCCGCAGGCCUUCUUCCUCACUGAAAGUGCUUUACAACCCGAAGGCCUUCUUCACACACGCGGCAUGGCUGGAUCAGGGUUGCCCCCAUUGUCCAAUAUUCCCCACUGCUGCCUCCCGUAGGAGUCUGGGCCGUGUCUCAGUCCCAGUGUGGCUGAUCAUCCUCUCAGACCAGCUACGGAUCGUCGCCUUGGUGAGCCGUUACCUCACCAACCAGCUAAUCCGACAUAGGCUCAUCCGAUAGCGCGAGGCCCGAAGGUCCCCCGCUUUCCCCCGUAGGGCGUAUGAGGUAUUAGCCUGGGUUUCCCCAGGUUAUCCCCCACUACCGGGCAGAUUCCUAUGCAUUACUCACCCGUCCGCCGCUCGCCACCAGGGAGCAAGCUCCCCGUGCUGCCGCUCGACUUGCAUGUGUUAGGCCUGCCGCCAGCGUUCAAUCUGAGCCAGAAUCGAACCCUGA